GACGAACGCUGGCGGCGUGCUUAACACAUGCAAGUCGAACGGAAAGGCCCUGCUUUUGUGGGGUGCUCGAGUGGCGAACGGGUGAGUAACACGUGAGUAACCUGCCCUUGACUUUGGGAUAACUUCAGGAAACUGGGGCUAAUACCGGAUAGGAGCUCCUGCUGCAUGGUGGGGGUUGGAAAGUUUCGGCGGUUGGGGAUGGACUCGCGGCUUAUCAGCUUGUUGGUGGGGUAGUGGCUUACCAAGGCUUUGACGGGUAGCCGGCCUGAGAGGGUGACCGGCCACAUGGGGACUGAGAUACGGCCCAGACUCGCACGGGAGGCAGCAGUGGGGAAUAUUGCACAAUGGGCGGAAGCCUGAUGCAGCAACGCCGCGUGCGGGAUGACGGCCUUCGGGUUGUAAACCGCUGUCGCCUGUGACGAAGCGUGAGUGACGGUAAUGGGUAAAGAAGCACCGGCUAACUACGUG
rnacentral:rRNA from 1 species